rnacentral:rRNA from 1 species
GGUUAAGCGACUAAGCGUACACGGUGGAUGCCCUGGCAGUCAGAGGCGAUGAAGGACGUGCUAAUCUGCGAUAAGCGUCGGUAAGGUGAUAUGAACCGUUAUAACCGGCGAUUUCCGAAUGGGGAAACCCAGUGUGUUUCGACACACUAUCAUUAACUGAAUCCAUAGGUUAAUGAGGCGAACCGGGGGAACUGAAACAUCUAAGUACCCCGAGGAAAAGAAAUCAACCGAGAUUCCCCCAGUAGCGGCGAGCGAACGGGGAGGAGCCCAGAGCCUGAAUCAGUGUGUGUGUUAGUGGAAGCGUCUGGAAAGGCGCGCGAUACAGGGUGACAGCCCCGUACACAAAAAUACACAUA